rnacentral:rRNA from 1 species
UACGUAGGGGCCGAGCGUUGUCCGGAGUUACUGGGCGUAAAGCGCGCGCAGGCGGCUGGUCUAGCCCGGCGUGAAAGCCCCCGGCUCAACCGGGGAGGGUCGUCGGGGACGGGCCAGCUUGAGGACGGCAGGGGCAGGUGGAAUUCCCGGUGUAGUGGUGAAAUGCGUAGAGAUCGGGAGGAACACCCGUGGCGAAGGCGGCCUGCUGGGCCGAUCCUGACGCUGAGGCGCGAAGGCGUGGGGAGCGAACAGG